rnacentral:rRNA from 1 species
AGGGCGCAGCCUGGACCCAGCGACGCCGCGUGGAGGGAAGACGGUCUUCGGAUUGUAAACCUCUGUUGCAGGGGAAGAAGGAAGUGACGGUACCCUGCGAGGAAGCCCCGGCAAACUACGUGCCAGCAGCCGCGGUAAUACGA